GCAUAAAUCACAAAGAUCAACCUCACCAUUGAAGUGCCCAGCGCUCUCCUGAUUCAGCUUUUGGGGAAAGGUGCUCACUUCUUCAGUGUUGAUGGAAGGCAAUAACUGGAGAACCAUCCUCUACUCUGACAGUGAAGUGAUUCAAAGUGCUCUUCUGUGCAGUCUUGCCUGGAAAUGAACUCUGGAGGUCCCUGAUAUCUUCUGGAUGUUUCUAUAACUAUCAUGGCAGUGUCCUAGUGGAGAGUCAAACAUUGCUCAUCAGGAAGGCAGCAGGAAAGCUAUAUUUAAACAAUCAACAAGUAAUUAUUAAGCACUCACUAUGAUCCAGGCAUCUUUCUUAGU